rnacentral:rRNA from 1 species
UGGGGAAUAUUGGACAAUGGGCGCAAGCCUGAUCCAGCCAUGCCGCGUGAGUGAUGAAGGCCCUAGGGUUGUAAAGCUCUUUUGUGCGGGAAGAUAAUGACUGUACCGCAAGAAUAAGCCCCGGCUAACUUCGUGCCAGCAGCCGCGGUAAUACGAAGGGGGCUAGCGUUGCUCGGAAUCACUGGGCGUAAAGGGUGCGUAGGCGGGUCUUUAAGUCAGGGGUGAAAUCCUGGAGCUCAACUCCAGAACUGCCUUUGAUACUGAGGAUCUUGAGUUCGGGAGAGGUGAGUGGAACUGCGAGUGUAGAGGUGAAAUUCGUAGAUAUUCGCAAGAACACCAGUGGCGAAGGCGGCUCACUGGCCCGAUACUGACGCUGAGGUGCGAAAGCGUGGGGAGCAAACA